GACGAACGCUGGCGGCGUGCCUAAUACAUGCAAGUAGAACGCUGAAGAGAGGAGCUUGCUCUUCCUGGAUGAGUUGCGAACGGGUGAGUAACGCGUAGGUAACCUGCCUUGUAGCGGGGGAUAACUAUUGGAAACGAUAGCUAAUACCGCAUAACAAUGGAUGACACAUGUCAUUUAUUUGAAAGGGGCAAUUGCUCCACUACAAGAUGGACCUGCGUUGUAUUAGCUAGUAGGUGAGGUAAUGGCUCACCUAGGCGACGAUACAUAGCCGACCUGAGAGGGUGAUCGGCCACACUGGGACUGAGACACGGCCCAGACUCCUACGGGAGGCAGCAGUAGGGAAUCUUCGGCAAUGGGGGCAACCCUGACCGAGCAACGCCGCGGGAGUGAAGAAGGUUUUCGGAUCGUAAAGCUCUGUUGUAAGUCAAGAACGGGUGUGAGAGUGGAAAGUUCACACUGUGACGGUAGCUUACCAGAAAGGGACGGCUAACUACGUG
rnacentral:rRNA from 1 species